GAUGAACGCUAGCGGCAGGCUUAACACAUGCAAGUCGAGGGGCAGCAUAAUGAAGUAGCAAUACUGAAUUGAUGGCGACCGGCGCACGGGUGCGUAACGCGUAUGUAACCUACCUCUAACAGGGGGAUAACACUGAGAAAUUGGUACUAAUACCCCAUAACACUUGAUAGGGCAUCCUAUUGAGUUGAAAGUUCCGGCGGUUAGAGAUGGACAUGCGUUGUAUUAGCUAGAUGGUGAGGUAACGGCUCACCAUGGCGACGAUACAUAGGGGGACUGAGAGGUUAACCCCCCACACUGGUACUGAGACACGGACCAGACUCCUACGGGAGGCAGCAGUGAGGAAUAUUGGUCCAAUGGUCGGAAGACUGAACCAGCCAUGCCGCGUGAAGGUCACGGCCCUAUGGGUCCUUAAAACUUCUUUUGGUAAAGGGGAGCCAAAUUAAAGGGCGUACGUGUACGUCGAUGAGGAC
rnacentral:rRNA from 1 species